rnacentral:tRNA from 1 species
GGGUGUGUAGCUCAGUGGUAGAGCGGCUGACUACAGAUCAGCAGUUCCUCGGUUCGGAUCCGGGCGCGCCCU